UUAGAGGGAAGUUCGUGGAGGGCUGGAGGAAGACAUAGAGAUCAGUGAGAAGAUUAAAGAGCAGGGAGAGAAGUGGGGCGACUGAGAUAGAGCAACAGAAAGGCUGCAAUGGAGUGAGGUGACGAAGAAUAUGGUAGCGUCAAAGAGGCUAAGAGCAGGGAACAGUGAGCGAGAGAGAUGGAGCUAGUGGGUGAGCGGAAGUGAAAAAGAGAGAAGCAGGCUGGUGCUGAUUGUCACAGGUGAACGAAAGAGGCUGGCCGCAGCAAAGAAGAUGGAGAAGAAAGAGGGCGGAGAUGGUAGUGACAGGAACUGGAGGAGAAGGCUGAGAGAGACAGCUGAGGGAAAGUGGCGGAGGUGGCUGAGAUGAGGGCGAAGAAUGGUAGAAAUGGGGUGAGAGAGAGCAGCUAUGUGGGAGAGAGGGCAACAGUGGGUUUUUGCUAUUGAAUUUAGAGAGACAACAGGCAGCAAGGUUGCUGUGAGCUGGCGGAUAUGGCAGGUGCAGGAAGAAGAAAGAAAGAUGGUCGAGGAUGGGAGGAAAGGGGCAGCAUCCAGCUGCCGUCUGAUGCGAGAGAGGCAGAGAAGAGGGGAAGCCUGAUCGCAGGCAGUUGAGGUGAAGGUGGGAAGGCAAGAACAUGGUGAAUGGCGGAGGUUGGACACAACUGGGGGAAGUCACAGGCGGUUGUCGUUUUUUAGAGAGAGAAAAGGCAACUGCAGCAGGGUGGAGGAAAUGGAGGUGGUGGAGAUGUGGCGAAAGAAAGUCCACUACUGAGUUUAGAGUGAGAGAAAACAUUGUACGACAAUAGGGAAAAAUAGGUGAAAGCCCACUACUGAGUUUAGAGUGAGAGAAAACACUACACGACAAUAGGGAAAAAUAGGUUGCGCACGGUGUUGGGGAAGAUGGGUUACACACGAUGAUGGGGGAGAUAGGUGCACACGGUGUUAACACGAAGAUGGAGGAGAUAGGUGCACACGGUGUUAGGCAAGAUGGGUCACACGACGAUAAGGUGAAGUUUACACAUGACGCUGAGGUUUGUAGUGCGCACGAUGAUAGGUAAGAUGGGUCCACACGGAAUUAAGGUAAAGUGCGCAUACGGGGCUGGGGUUUGUUGCGCACACGGCGAUAGGUAAGAUAGGUAAGAUGGGUGCACACUCCAAUAGGUAAAGGUUCACGUGCGGCGAGAGGUAGAGGUUCACGUGCAGCGAUAGGUUGUGUUCACGCGCGGUGAUGGGAUUAUACUCACUCGCGGUGUUAAAGGAAGAAAUAUUUGAGGCAUAAAUAUUUGGGGCAUGGUAGUUUCACGAAACCACGGACUGUGAGUGGGAAAAGGGAGACACGAGGGUGCACCAAGAAAGGGGAAUGUGAGGGAAGAGGGAAAAAAGAAGGGAAAAGAGAAUGGACAGGAGGGACCAUCAGGCAAAGGAAGGAAAAGGUGGACCCAAGGGUGCACAGGGAUCUGGUGGUCAUGCAAGGAAUAAAAGGGAAAGAAAAAAGAAAAUGGGUGGUCAUGCUGGACCACAAGGAGGGAAAGGGGAAUGUUAUGGUCAUGAGGGACCAUAGGGAGGAGAGAAGAGAGAGAUCAUGGUCAAGCGAGACCAUAAGGGAAGGAAAGAUGGAAGAAGAGAAGAAGAGUGAAACACAGACAGCGAUGGGCUUCCACCGUCUGUGAAGGAGGAGAGAGAAAGAGAAGAGAGAGAUGACAUAGAGGGUGACUGUACCUACCGCUCAUGUAGGCUACGAGGCCUGCCGAAGGGACUCAGACCAUCAUUUUAGUCAUCAGAAGAAUGAGAAAGGAGAGAAAGAGAGAGAGAUGACAGAGACGGUGACUGUUCCUACCGCUCGUGCAGACUACGAGGCCUACCGCCUAAGAAGGGACUCAGACCAUCAUCUCAGUCAUGAGAAGAAUGAUAAGAGAGAGAAAGAGACAUAGAAAGAAGAAGAAAUAGGAGAGACAAAGAGGAGAGAGGAGAGAGGAGAGAGAUGAGAGAGAUUUACUUUAAGCCCAAAGGUACCAACACAAAAUUUCUCUCUCCUUCCUCUCUCUCAAAACGUGACCCAACAAUGAAAAAGAUGGAAAUUUUAUUAAGCAAAGGGGGG
rnacentral:lncRNA from 1 species